rnacentral:rRNA from 1 species
AUUCGGUACAGGAUGGGCCCGCAUCUGAUUAGCUAGUUGGUGAGAUAACAGCCCACCAAGGCGACGAUCAGUAGCCGACCUGAGAGGGUGAUCGGCCACAUUGGGACUGAGACACGGCCCAAACUCCUACGGGAGGCAGCAGUGGGGAAUAUUGCACAAUGGGGGAAACCCUGAUGCAGCAACGCCGCGUGAAGGAAGAAGGUUUUCGGAUCGUAAACUUCUAUCAAUAGGGAAGAAAUCAAUGACGGUACCUAAAUAAGAAGCCCCGGCUAACUACGUGCCAGCAGCCGCGGUAAUACGUAGGGGGCAAGCGUUAUCCGGAAUUACUGGGUGUAAAGGGAGCGUAGGCGGCAUGGUAAGCCAGAUGUGAAAGCCUUGGGCUUAACCCGAGGAUUGCAUUUGGAACUAUCAAGCUAGAGUACAGGAGAGGAAAGCGGAAUUCCUAGUGUAGCGGUGAAAUGCGUAGAUAUUAGGAAGAACACCAGUGGCGAAGGCGGCUUUCUGGACUGAAACUGACGCUGAGGCUCGAAAGCGUGGGGAGCGAACAGGAUUAGAUACCCUGGUAGUCCACGCCGUAAACGAUGAGUGCUAGGUGUUGGGGAGGAAUCCUCGGUGCCGCAGUUAACACAAUAAGCACUCCACCUGGGGAGUACGACCGCAAGGUUGAAACUCAAAGGAAUUGACGGGGGCCCGCACAAGCGGUG